rnacentral:rRNA from 1 species
AGAACGAACGCUGGCGGCAUGCCUAACACAUGCAAGUCGAACGGGCACCUUCGGGUGCUAGUGGCGCACGGGUGCGUAACGCGUGGGGAUCUGCCCUUAGGUACGGAAUAACUCAGGGAAACUUGAGCUAAUACCGUAUAAUGACUUCGGUCCAAAGAUUUAUCGCCUAGGGAUGAACCCGCGUAGGAUUAGCUUGUUGGUGAGGUAAAGGCUCACCAAGGCGACGAUCCUUAGCUGGUCUGAGAGGAUGAUCAGCCACACUGGGACUGAGACACGGCCCAGACUCCUACGGGAGCAGCAGUGGGAAUAUGGACAAUGGGACGAAAGCCUGAUCCAGCAAUGCCGCGUGAGUGAGUGAAGGUCCGUUAAGGGUUGUAAAGUCUUCGUUUUGGCCCGGAUGAUAAUGACAGUACGGAGAAUAAGCUCCGGACUAACUCCGCGCCAG